CUCAGAAGAAAGCCUUUUUCUCUCUGCGUGACAGACUUAGUACUACAUGAUCCAUGUUAAUGAAACUAAUGUAGUACUGAGUCUGUCGUGCAGUGAGUAAAAAAAUCCAAAGAGA
ensembl:miRNA Mir3559 microRNA 3559